rnacentral:rRNA from 1 species
UGGCGUAAACAGAGGGAAGCGAACCCGCGAGGGGGAGCGAAUCCCAAAAAUAACGUCCCAGUUCGGAUUGUAGUCUGCAACCCGACUACAUGAAGCCGGAAUCGCUAGUAAUCGCGGAUCAGAAUGCCGCGGUGAAUACGUUCCCGGGUCUUGUACACACCGCCCGUCAAACCAUGAGAGUUGGCAACACCCGAAGUCGGUAGUCUAACCGCAAGGAGGACGCCGCCGAAGGUGGGGUUGAUGAUUAGGGUUAAGUCGUAACAAGGUAGC